rnacentral:lncRNA from 1 species
UGACGACCCCACCUUCUUCUAGGGCAUACCCUAGAAGUUAGCGGAUCGCCUGCCUAGCUCUCGCCAGGACUCACUCACUCCCAUUAACUUCAGAGAUAACAUUACCAUUGGACAACUGAACAUUCACUCUUAAGUACCACUCCAAUCAGCUUGAAACAUAGAUUUGUCCACUAAAAGAAACAAAAUACACGUUCUAAACAUCCAUUCUUAAUAUUACAUCAACUCAAAACAAAAGAUUCAACCAUCUUAAAAUACGAAAGAAAACGUGACUCCAAUAUAUACACAUAGUGAUGGGAUUUCCCAAAACAACUUUCCAAUUCCAUCCAAUCACUUUCAAUCUCCAACUCCUGUAAGGAAAACAAAGCUAAAAGGGUGAGCUUACGCCUGUGAGAUUUCCAUGCAAGUAACAUUUAAGAAUCACAUGAAUCAAUACAAAUAAACAAGUAGUGCACAUUUCACUGUACAAUCACUUUCAUUAGCAAUUGAGGAAACAUUUCACUGAACAAUCACUUUUAAAAGGAUACGGUGCUCACAUUAGAGCCACUUCAAUGCACUACACACUCCGCCAAACUCCUCCUUAUAACCUCCAAAACAAUAAACACUUCCCUCACUUGGAUGGCCAUAUCAAUAUCAAUAAUCUGCUACUCCGUGGUAAUACUCGAGCAUACCAAAACACUUACCCAAAACUACCGUCCUACCCGACCAAGCCCUUUGCUGGCUCGAAUAAUCCGUUGAACAGAGGGUUUUGGGGCCGAGUUCAGCCGGCGUGAUAAAGUACACACACGACUUACAGUCAUGCACACUUACAAUAUCACUUGAUCAAUUAUCAAUCUUCAAGCUCAACUAAGCCAAGUGCGAUAAAGUACACCCUCGACUUAGAAGGCGAGGGAUAAUUGAGAUACACUUCCAAUGAAUCACUUAGCAAUAUUUCAUAAUAAGCACAUUUGCCAUAUAAUUGCACUUAGGUACACAUAAACAGUUUAACACAUAAAUUCGGAAAACACUUACCAAUUAUCCAAGUAAAUUACUCUUGAGCCUCGGGUUUGUUUCUUGGCUCACAGCUACAUCCUGGACAAGUUAAUAAUUCCAAAUCAACUACAUAGUUUGUAGAUGUUCACUUAUUGUUCUUACUUUAUCACUUGGACUAUUAAAAUCAAGUUUGACUUUAAAGUACAAAAUAUAACAUAUUCAAUGUUCACAUAUCAUUUUAUUUUGAAACUUAUUGACUUUAUUGUUUUAAUCAAGAAUUAUACCUGUUUUCCCAAGUUAAUAAUUCAUAAGAUAUUUAUUUUAGGACUUAAAUCAUUUUCCACUCAAGAUUCCAAAAUUAAGGUUUAGAAGUAUUCCCUUGGUUCUCUUUUAAUUAAUUAGACUCUAAGUUAUUUGGAAAUUAAGUUUUAUUCCACUAUACCAGUCCCUCAAUUUAAUAGCCUUUAAAAAUAUUUGUGAAAACAAUAUCAUAUAAUGGCUUGGUUUGAACAUGCAUGAAAGAUUUGAACAUAAAUUGAAGAGAUUAUUGGAGAAAAUUGUGUCAACGUGACGGCUACCAGAAUUUUGGAACAUGGCCGAGGGGAGGAAAUCAGCAUCUGAACCAGCGUUGCUUUUCAAUUUCCCUUGGCUGUAAACUUUAGAUCCCUGCUGAAAGUACCCUGUAGUUUGAUAACCAAUCCUUGCAUGUUGAACUUAACGAAAGAAAACUGAAGAAAUCUGUGUUUAAGAGCUGAGUGGCUGUCAAAAUCUUUCCAGCAUGGCCGAGAGAAGGAGUUGAGCAUCUGAUCAGUUUUUCCUUCGAAGUUUAGCUGCAAUUUUUAUACUCUUGUUGUUCAAGAUUACCUUGUAAGCUUGUUCAUUAUAUAUUUGCAUGUUGAGUUGAAGUUAAAACUGAAGAAAGAACCGAAUCUUUAACUGUCUUAUGGCUGAAGGUUUACUUAGCUAAUGACAGAAUUAGUUGUGGCUUUUGGGUUGAAUAAUCCGUUGAAACUAGAUGCUAAUUGCUUUGGUAUAUGCUGGAAUGAAUGUAACUUAAGUAUAUAGAGAUUUAAGCAAGUGAAAGAAUAGAGUUUUUGGUUAAAAGCUUGAAAUAACAUUACUGGAAAUUUGUGAUUUGUCUGUCUAGUUGGGGCAUGAAAGUGAAAGGAAAGACUUGAGAAAACAAAAAAUGUUGGACCGUUACACUGCUAGAAAAUUUAGUUGGGGAAUGCUACAGCUGAUAACAGCUUUUGUAUGUGAUUUUGGCCGAAUAACAUGCUGAAAUUAUGAGUUAUUCACCUUAGUUCAUGUUGAACAGAAUGUAUACUAAGUGACUAAUAUUUGAGUAAGUGAAAGAUGGAAUUUGUUGAAGAUUUAGAAACAUUUGAUCUAAAAUUCUUGCUUUGGCUGACCGAAUGUGUGAAGAGAUGAAGCUCUCACGAAACUUUUGAAAAUUUAUGUUAAAUGGUUGUGAAUUUAUAUGGGGCAUCUUAUAGUAUCUUGAAACUAUUUUAUGAGUAUUUUAAAGAACUUAAAACUGAAAAAUUAGUAAAAUUUAAACGAGAUUUAAACUAUUGGCAACUUGGAAUCUAGUUUAAUCCAAAAAGAAAAGAAUGAAAAGUCAAUUUGCCUUAAUCUUAGAAUAUUGGAUAGAAAAUGGUUUAAUCUUAGGUUAAACAUUUUAUAAGACUAUAAACUUGGAAUAUGCAUAUUUCUUGGUUUAAAAUGAUAAAGUCAAUAAGUCGAAAUGAAAUAUUGAAUAAAUAUUGAAUCUCUUAUAUUUUCCUCACAGCCAUUAUCAAAGCUGCAUGCAUGCGACACAAAAGGAAAGGUAACGAGGAAGGCAGCUUUGCCAUCCUCUGGUAUUUCAAUCAUAACUAGAGCUACGCUUUUCGGAUGGAGGCAAACUUUAUAGCGUUUCGAAACUAAGAUAUAGACCUACAUUUCUUAUGAAGACAUCGAUGCCCAGUUCUCACAUUUUCAGGGUCAAAAAUGGCCGGACAGAAGCACAUUCUGCUUCACUCCCUCGGCCAACAUUCUGCUUUCACUUGCACUCAUUCCUCCCUUAAUGUUUAGUUGAGUUUCUACUUGUUUCUGUCUUUCUUGUUGAAGUUUAUGGACUUUAUGAUAUGUUACAGCUUACAACACAGGUUUAAGAGCUAAGGGUUGCAGGGGAUAUCUAGAAUUUUCUAACUGUUCUGCUCAGUCGAAGCCAACAGGUUUCGGUAGUAAGAUAGUAGCAAUAUUUUUUUGUCCUCUUAGUUCCUCCUCAGCUUCAUAUGCUAAUCAAACGUACAGAGUAUAUUGAUUCCACCACACAUUAUCCUAAGCAAAACAUGGCAGAUCAUGGCCAGAAUUUAGAAGAAAAUUGAAUGAAAACUCAGGUCUGCGCAAGACCGCUAAACUGAUGCAGCCUGCAUCAGAUUUCUUCCAAGCUCAAUCCUUACUAUUUCAUGCUCACUUUCUCAUGCAUGAAGCAACCAUGAUGCCAUGCAUCAUGUUACAGUUUAGCACAGCAUAUCAGAUUCAUCAUUUAUGAGAUUCAGCAGCAAUCUUUCCAUUUCUCUUCUGAAAACAGGCUACAUAACCAAUGCCUAUCUCACGGCUAGAAGUCUGAAUUUUACCUUAGCUAGGGACUCAUUUUCUUUGCUAAAUUCAACAUGCAGCUUGUAUAUUUAUCCAUUCAUACUGAAUAAGCAAGAGGUUAUUGCAGGUUCUUACAACUUCAGUCAGAUAAUCGUUUUAAUCCCUAACCAGAAUUUUCUCCUGUCCAAGCUCGCUUUCCUCUGCUACGACUUAACUUGCAGGUUGAAUAGACGCUCUUUUAUACUCAGUAAGUAUUGAUCAUAGAAAAUUUACCUCUUGCCUUUAAGAAUUAAGAAUUGCAGACGGACCAGAUUGUUUUCCAGCUUUGUUCCCUCAAGUUUGCACCAGCUUCUCCCGUUCUCCUGGCGUUGCUCUUUCUUGAUUAUGGUUAGCUGGUGAUGAAGCUAGCCAAAUUUCUCUCCUCUCACUCACUUUGGCUCACGGUUUUGAAGUUGUAAGCUGGGGAAAUAAAGCUAAUACUCUCACUCUUCUCUCGGUUGCAAGCUGAACAAAGAGGAACCAGAAAUAUUUUCUUUUCCUCUCACUCGAUUAUGUUUGAGCUGAAUGGGUGUCCAAAUCUCCC